GAGUUUGAUCAUGGCUCAGGACGAACGCUGGCGGCGUGCCUAACACAUGCAAGUCGAGCGGAGAACUUCGGUUCUUAGCGGCGGACGGGUGAGUAACACGUGGGUAACCUGCCUUAGUGAGGGGGAUAGCCUUCCGAAAGGAAGAUUAAUACCGCAUAAUAUUGUUUCUUCGCAUGAAGAGAUAAUCAAAGGAGCAAUCCACACUAAGAUGGACCCGCGGCGCAUUAGCUAGUUGGUGAGGUAACGGCUCACCAAGGCGACGAUGCGUAGCCGGCCUGAGAGGGUGAACGGCCACAUUGGAACUGAGACACGGUCCAGACUCCUACGGGAGGCAGCAGUGGGGAAUAUUGCACAAUGGGCGAAAGCCUGAUGCAGCAACGCCGCGUGAGUGAUGAAGGCCUUCGGGUUGUAAAGCUCUGUCUUCUGGGACGAUAAUGACGGUACCAGAGGAGGAAGCCACGGCUAACUACGUGCCAGCAGCCGCGG
rnacentral:rRNA from 1 species